rnacentral:rRNA from 1 species
UUGGAGGGCAAGUCUGGUGCCAGCAGCCGCGGUAAUUCCAGCUCCAAUAGCGUAUAUUAAAAUUGUUGCAGUUAAAAAGCUCGUAGUUGAAUUUCGGGGUUAGUAGGUUGGUCAUGCCUCUGGUAUGUACUGGUCUCACUGAUUCCUCCUUCCUGAUGAACCUUAAUGCCAUUAAUUUGGUGUUUUGGGGAAUUUGGACUGUUACUUUGAAAAAAUUAGAGUGUUUAAAGCAAGCUAACGCUUGAAUACAUUAGCAUGGAAUAAUGAAAUAGGACGUUCGAUCCUAUUUUGUUGGUUUCUAGGAUUGACGUAAUGAUUAAUGGGGAUAGUUGGGGGCAUUAGUAUUCAAUUGUCAGAGGUGAAAUUCUUGGAUUUAUUGAAGACUAACUACUGCGAAAGCAUUUGCCAAGGAUGUUUUCAUUAAUCAAGAACGAAAGUUAGGGGAUCGAAGACGAUCAGAUACCGUCGUAGUCUUAACCAUAAACUAUGCCGACUAGGGAUCGGAUGAUGUUAAUUUUUUAAUGACUCAUCCGGCGCCUUACGGGAAAC